GAAGAACGGCGUGCUGGAGGCUGCUGUUGCGGCGUUGGGUGCUGGGUGCUGCUUAGGGUUUCUUUUAGUCGUUGGGCCACAGAGCAAUUGGGCCACCAUUUUAGGAAUUUAGGUUGGGUCUGGGUUAAAUUUGAGUUUAAAUUUUAAGGGGCCUUAGUUGUAAUAAACUGGACAUUUAUUUGGUUUAUUUUAUUUAUUUGAUUUUUUUUUUCAUAUCUGGGUUUUAAUAGUUGGGCUCGGGCUGGGCAAAAUUUGGGUAUUAUAUUUCCAAAAUCAAAAUUUAAAAUAGAAUAAAAAGAUUAAAAUCAUUUUAAAAAUUUAUUUUGAUUGUUAAAUCAUUUUUUUUGAAAUACCAAUAUUAUAUUUA
rnacentral:lncRNA from 1 species